rnacentral:rRNA from 1 species
CACGUAGGGUGCAAGCGUUGUCCGGAAUUAUUGGGCGUAAAGGGCUCGUAGGCGGUCCGUCACGUCGGGAGUGAAAACUCGGAGCUCAACUCCGAGCCUGCUUCCGAUACGGGCAGACUAGAGGUAGGCAGGGGAGAGCGGAACUCCUGGUGUAGCGGUGGAAUGCGCAGAUAUCAGGAAGAACACCGGUGGCGAAGGCGGCUCUCUGGGCCUUACCUGACGCUGAGGAGCGAAAGCGUGGGUAGCAAACAGG